rnacentral:rRNA from 1 species
UACGAAGGGGGCUAGCGUUGCUCGGAAUCACUGGGCGUAAAGGGUGCGUAGGCGGGUCUUUAAGUCAGAGGUGAAAUCCUGGAGCUCAACUCCAGAACUGCCUUUGAUACUGAAGAUCUUGAGUUCGGGAGAGGUGAGUGGAACUGCGAGUGUAGAGGUGAAAUUCGUAGAUAUUCGCAAGAACACCAGUGGCGAAGGCGGCUCACUGGCCCGGUACUGACGCUGAGGCGCGAAAGCGUGGGGAGCAACAGG